rnacentral:rRNA from 1 species
AUACAGAGGGUGCAAGCGUUAUUCGGAAUUACUGGGCGUAAAGCGCACGUAGGCGGACUGGAAAGUUGGGGGUGAAAUCCCGGGGCUCAACCCCGGAACUGCCUCCAAAACUUCCAAUCUAGAGAUCGAGAGAGGUGAGUGGAAUUCCAAGUGUAGAGGUGAAAUUCGUAGAUAUUUGGAGGAACACCAGUGGCGAAGGCGGCUCACUGGCUCGAUACUGACGCUGAGGUGCGAAAGCGUGGGGAGCAAACAGAAUUAGAUACCCUAGUAGUCC